rnacentral:rRNA from 1 species
AACGAACGCUGGCGGCAGGCUUAACACAUGCAAGUCGAACGCCCCGCAAGGGGAGUGGCAGACGGGUGAGUAACGCGUGGGAACGUGCCCUUCGCUUCGGAAUAGCCCCGGGAAACUGGGAGUAAUACCGAAUACGCCGUAUUGGGAAAGAUUUAUCGGCGAAGGAUCGGCCCGCGUUAGAUUAGCUAGUUGGCGGUGUAAUGGACCACCAAGGCUGCGAUCUAUAGCUGGGCUGAGAGGAUGAUCAGCCACACUGGGACUGAGACACGGCCCAGACUCCUACGGGAGGCAGCAGUGGGGAAUCUUGGACAAUGGGCGCAAGCUUGAUCCAGCCAUGCCGCGUGAGUGAAGAAGGCCUUAGGGUUGUAAAACUCUUUCGCCGGAGAAGAUAAUGACGGUAUCCGGAGAAGAAGCCCCGGCUAACUUCGUGCCAGCCGCCGCCGUAAAAC